AAUUAUGUAUAGGUAUAACUAACUACAAUCUAUGUCAGACUUCAGUUACUCUGCACGUUCCUUCCGGGUGGUGCUAAAGGACUUAUAAAAUUAAAUAUGUAAUGUGUUUUCGUGUUAAAAAAAUAGUAUUGCCAGUACUUUAUAUAUCUCAUAUGAAGUUAAUACUUUUCAGAAAGCUGAUUCUCAAAUACGCGUCGAAAAACAAAAACCAGUUGGGCUGAAUCUUCAAAGAACCAAAAUUAAGAAAACACGAAAUAAUAUUUUUCAGACCAAAGAGUUACUGUAACGCCCCCCACAUCGCAUAGCCGCCAAAAGUGGAUUCCUGCAGCGUGCAUCGCCUCAACCUGAAUGAUGAAGAAUCUUCUAAAGCCACUGACGAGCAAUACCAAAGAGUUACUGUAACGCCCCCCACAUCGCAUAGCCGCCAAAAGUGGAUUCCUGCAGCGUGCAUCGCCUCAACCUGAAUGAUGAAGAAUCUUCUAAAGCCACUGACGAGCAAUGUAAACUCAUGAAAUAUCACACCUACAACAAGUUAGAAAAGCAUAAUGAAGCACAAUCCAGAAAAAAGUUAAAAUGUCUUAAAUAAAUACUAUUUAAUGCUCAAAAAA